rnacentral:rRNA from 1 species
UUGACGCUGAGGUUGGUACUUGUACCGACUGGAUGAGCAGCGAACGGGUGAGUAACGCGUGGGGAAUCUGCCUUUGAGCGGGGGACAACAUUUGGAAACGAAUGCUAAUACCGCAUAAAAACUUUAAACACAAGUUUUAAGUUUGAAAGAUGCAAUUGCAUCACUCAAAGAUGAUCCCGCGUUGUAUUAGCUAGUUGGUGAGGUAAAGGCUCACCAAGGCGAUGAUACAUAGCCGACCUGAGAGGGUGAUCGGCCACAUUGGGACUGAGACACGGCCCAAACUCCUACGGGAGGCAGCAGUAGGGAAUCUUCGGCAAUGGACGAAAGUCUGACCGAGCAACGCCGCGUGAGUGAAGAAGGUUUUCGGAUCGUAAAACUCUGUUGGUAGAGAANAACGUUGGUGAGAGUGGAAAGCUCAUCAAGUGACGGUAACUACCCAGAAGNGGCGGCUAACUNCGUGCCAGCAGCCGCGGUAAUACGUAGGUCCCGAGCGUUGUCCGGAUUAAUUGGGCGUAAGCGAGCGCAGGUGGUUAUNAAGUCUGGNGUAAAG